CCUACGGGUGACUGCAGUGAGGAAUAUUGGUCAAUGGGCGAGAGCCUGAACCAGCCAAGUCGCGUGAGGGAGUACUGCCCUAUGGGUUGUAAACCUCUUUUGUCGGGGAGCAAAAGCCGGACGUGUCCGGCUGUGAGAGUAACCGCAGAAAAAGCAUCGGCUAACUCCGUGCCAGCAGCCGCGGUAAUACGGAGGAUGCGGGCGUUAUCCGGAUUUAUUGGGUUUAAAGGGUGCGCAGGCGGAUUUUUAAGUCAGCGGUAAAAUCGUGGGGCUCAACCCCAUCCAGCCGUUGAAACUGGGGAUCUAGAGUGUGCGAGAGGUAUGCGGAAUGCGUGGUGUAGCGGUGAAAUGCAUAGAUAUCACGCAGAACCCCGAUUGCGAAGGCAGCAUACCGGUGCACAACUGACGCUCAGGCACGAAAGCGUGGGUAUCGAACAGGAUUAGAUACCCUAGUAGUC
rnacentral:rRNA from 1 species